UACGUAGGGGGCGAGCGUUGUCCGGAUUUAUUGGGCGUAAAGAGCUCGUAGGCGGCUUGGCAAGUCGGGUGUGAAACCUCCAGGCUCAACCUGGAGACGCCACUCGAUACUGCUAUGGCUAGAGUCCGGUAGGGGACCACGGAAUUCCUGGUGUAGCGGUGAAAUGCGCAGAUAUCAGGAGGAACACCGGUGGCGAAGGCGGAUCUCUGGGCCUUACCUGACGCUGAGGCGCGAAAGCUAGGGGAGCGAACAGG
rnacentral:rRNA from 1 species